AAUCAGCGCUGGCGGCGUGCCUAACACAUGCAAGUCGAACGCGAGAGGGGCUUCGGCCCCGAUUGAGUGGCGAACGGGUGGGUAACGCGUGGGUGACCUACCUUCGAGUGGGGAUAACGUACCCGAAAGGGACGCUAAUACCGCAUAACAUCCUGCUUUUGAAUGGGUGGAGAUCAAAGCCGGGGAUCGCAAGACCUGGCGCUUGAUGAGGGGCCCGCGUUUGAUUAGCUAG
rnacentral:rRNA from 1 species